AGAACUUAAACCGCAACCCGAUC
rnacentral:siRNA from 1 species